AUGCCUAGGAAUGAUGCGAAGCUCCCGCGCCGCCGCCGGCCGCGCGCGGACCGCCUCGGUGACCUCUCCGACGAUCUGCUCCAUGAUAUCCUGCGCCGCCUCGACACCCGCACCGCGCUCGGCACCGCGGCGCUCUCCAGGCGCUGGGCCAGCCUACCCCGCGAGGUCCCCGUCCUGGACCUCAAGGUCACCGACAUACUGCCGCCGCGCUACCACCGGUGCAUCCGCCUCCGCAGCGACGCCAGGAAAUCAAAAAUCAGCUCGACCUUGUCUGACAGGAGGCUUCUAGAGGCUAUUGCUGUCCGGUACGAGCGCCGCGCCAUGCGAGCCAUGGUCCGCUCCGUCAAGAACCUCCUGGCCAGCCGAGCUCGCCGGCGUGUGGAGAAACUAUCGCUCGAGGUCUUCGCCUACAGCACCUCGGCCUGCAUCAACCGCCUGGUCGUGGACGCCGUCGAUUCCUGGGGCGUCCGGGAUCUAGAGGUUGUUGCCACGCCGACGGGGCCACUCGCGUCUCCCAAGCCGCCGGCCUACAGCUUCACUCAUGGCAUCAUCAGCAGGAAGCCCGGCGAGUCCCGACUGCGAAGCCUCAAGCUUGCCAACUGCUUGCCCCGGGCGCUCCUGGGAUUCAACGCGCUCACCACGCUCUUCUUCCAAGGUGCCAUCACCGUGAACGAUCUGAUCUUGCGGUUUACUGGGCCUGAGAUGUGGAUCAUGCCGAAGAAUCCCUUCUCUGCAAUGUCGAACCUAAGAAGGCUGCUCGUCGCCGACGUGCCUUCCUCAUGGGACGCCUCAUGGCCGCGCCUGCUCAUCGAGGCGGCACCGUUACUUGAGAGCCUUUAUGUGCAUGUCUCCCACAGCGAAGGCGAGCCAAGACAGGAGGUGCCGGGGGAGACCUCGGCUUUGCGCCAUCACCAUUUGAAGGAGCUUGUUGUCAUUGGAUUCCAGAGGACGGAGAGGCAGAUGCGCCUUGUGAGGUUCGCCGUGGAGGUAUCCACGGCGCUGCGGCGUGUCGCUCUGCUCAAGCAGGGACGCGUCGAGGAGAAAGGGUCCUGA
rnacentral:rRNA from 1 species